rnacentral:tRNA from 3 species
GGCAAGAUGGCCGAGCGGUCUAAGGCGCUACGUUAAGGUUAACCCUUAAUCUGAGUUAAAUCUCAUAUCCGUAGUCCGAAAGGGCGUGGGUUCGAAUCCCACUCUUGUCA